rnacentral:rRNA from 1 species
AGAAUCAACGCUGGCGGCGUGCCUAACACAUGCAAGUCGAACGAGAAAGUGGAGCAAUCCAUGAGUACAGUGGCGUACGGGUGAGUAACACGUGACUAACCUACCCUCGAGUGGGGAAUAACCUCGGGAAACCGGGCUAAUACCGCAUAACAUCUACGGAUCAAAUGCGUAAGCAGCUUGAGGAGGGGUCGCGGCCGAUUAGCUAGUUGGCGGGGUAAUGGCCCACCAAGGCAAUGAUCGGUA